rnacentral:lncRNA from 1 species
GGGCCUUCUGGGAAACGUCCUUCCAGCCCCGCCCUUCGCCCACGCUGCGGAUGGUGCGCAUGCGCAGCGCGUGGACUUUGGCCUCUGCGCUCCUUUGGCAGUUUUACAGGCUGCGUCGCGGAGGGCAAUGAAAGAGGCUUUAAGGGGACUGGACAGGAAGGAUUUUGCGCAGGGUGUGCUCCUCUAUCUUCAUGGUAAUCUGAUGUUGAAACGUGUCCGUAUGUUUGCGGUGGAUUGAGUGUUCACCUGGCUGCGCUGCCCACCUGAAAUGCAGCCCGUGGAGUGAAGAGUCGGCAAUUUGGAAGCCCACCUUUCCUCCUUUCUGAAUGGCUGUCACUGCUUGAUACUUCCAGGCAAAUUUAUGAACCAGGUGCCCCAGUGCAGGACCUCCAGCUUCCUGCCCAGCAGUACUUACUUGGCCAUUAUGACCACCAGGCAACUCAGGAGAGGCCUAGGCCAUCUGAUCACCAGAACCUGCCCCUUCAACAUCUUCAACAGCCACUUGGAAAAGGCCAGGAACUAUUUUACCAAAGGGAUUUAAGUCUGCACUGCAGAUGGCAUGACCUUGCUUCAUAACCAUAGAGAUCUGUGUUGUGAUUCUUCAAACGGGACUUGAUGUGAACUUUUUUAUUUUUACAAAGGCAAGGAAAUUCAAACAUUG